UGGGGAAUUUUGGACAAUGGGGGAAACCCUGAUCCAGCCAUCCCGCGUGUGCGAUGAAGGCAUUCGGGUUGUAAAGCACUUUUGGCAGGAAAGAAACGUCAUGGGUUAAUACCCCGUGAAACUGACGGUACCUGCAGAAUAAGCACCGGCUAACUACGUGCCAGCAGCCGCGGUAAUACGUAGGGUGCAAGCGUUAAUCGGAAUUACUGGGCGUAAAGCGUGCGCAGGCGGUUCGGAAAGAAAGAUGUGAAAUCCCAGAGCUCAACUUUGGAACUGCAUUUUUAACUACCGGGCUAGAGUGUGUCAGAGGGAGGUGGAAUUCCGCGUGUAGCAGUGAAAUGCGUAGAUAUGCGGAGGAACACCGAUGGCGAAGGCAGCCUCCUGGGAUAACACUGACGCUCAUGCACGAAAGCGUGGGGAGCAAACAGG
rnacentral:rRNA from 1 species